rnacentral:rRNA from 1 species
UUUAAAGAUGCUCCUGGCAUCACUGAUGGAUGAGCCUGCGGCGCAUUAGCUAGUUGGUGGGGUAAAGGCCUACCAAGGCGACGAUGCGUAGCCGACCUGAGAGGGUGAACGGCCACACUGGGACUGAGACACGGCCCAGACUCCUACGGGAGGCAGCAGUAGGGAAUCUUCGGCAAUGGGCGAAAGCCUGACCGAGCAACGCCGCGUGAAUGAAGAAGGCCUUCGGGUUGUAAAAUUCUGUUAUAAGGGAAGAAAGGUGAUAGGAGGAAAUGACUAUCAAUUGACGGUACCUUAUGAGAAAGCCACGGCUAACUACGUGCCAGCAGCCGCGGUAAUACGUAGGUGGCAAGCGUUAUCCGGAAUUAUUGGGCGUAAAGAGCGCGCAGGUGGUUAAUUAAGUCUGACGUGAAAGCCCACGGCUUAACCGUGGAGGGUCAUUGGAAACUGGUUGACUUGAGUGCAGAAGAGGGAAGUGGAAUUCCAUGUGUAGCGGUGAAAUGCGUAGAGAUAUGGAGGAACACCAGUGGCGAAGGCGGCUUCCUGGUCUGCAACUGACACUGAGGCGCGAAAGCGUGGGGAGCAAACAGGAUUAGAUACCCUAGUAGUCCACGCCGUA